AUUCUAUGAUGAUUUUACCAAAAUGACUUUCAUUCUUCUGAGUAUACUAAAGCCACGUAUUAGGUACUGAGAAAG
ensembl:snoRNA